rnacentral:rRNA from 1 species
UACAGAGGGGGCAAGCGUUGUUCGGAAUGACUGGGCGUAAAGGGCGCGUAGGCGGCGGUCACAGUCAGAUGUGAAAUUCCUGGGCUUAACCUGGGGGCUGCAUUUGAUACGUGGUUGCUUGAGUGGGGAAGAGGGUCGUGGAAUUCCCAGUGUAGAGGUGAAAUUCGUAGAUAUUGGGAAGAACACCGGUGGCGAAGGCGGCGACCUGGUCCUUGACUGACGCUGAGGCGCGAAAGCGUGGGGAGCAAACAGG